rnacentral:rRNA from 1 species
AUUGAACGCUGGCGGAAUGCUUUACACAUGCAAGUCGAACGGCAGCACGGGGGCAGCCCUGGUGGCGAGUGGCGAACGGGUGAGUAAUACAUCGGAACGUGCCCGGUCGUGGGGGAUAACGUAGCGAAAGUUACGCUAAUACCGCAUACGAUCUGAGGAUGAAAGCGGGGGACCUUCGGGCCUCGCGCGAUCGGAGCGGCCGAUGUCAGAUUAGGUAGUUGGUGGGGUAAAGGCCUACCAAGCCGACGAUCUGUAGCUGGGCUGAGAGGACGACCAGCCACACUGGGACUGAGACACGGCCCAGACUCCUACGGGAGGCAGCAGUGGGGAAUUUUGGACAAUGGGCGCAAGCCUGAUCCAGCCAUUCCGCGUGCAGGACGAAGGCCUUCGGGUUGUAAACUGCUUUUGUACGGAACGAAAAGGCUCUGGCUAAUACCUGGGGCUCAUGACGGUACCGUAAGAAUAAGCACCGGCUAACUACGUG